GAUGAACGCUGGCGGCGUGCCUAAUACAUGCAAGUCGAGCGAGCGGACGAGAAGCUUGCUUCUCUGAUGUUAGCGGCGGACGGGUGAGUAACACGUGGAUAACCUACCUAUAAGACUGGGAUAACUUCGGGAAACCGGAGCUAAUACCGGAUAAUAUUUUGAACCGCAUGAUUCAAAAGUGAAAGACGGUCUUGCUGUCACUUAUAGAUGGAUCCGCGCUGCAUUAGCUAGUUGGUAAGGUAACGGCUUACCAAGGCAACGAUGCAUAGCCGACCUGAGAGGGUGAUCGGCAACACUGGAACUGAGACACGGUCCAGACUCCUACGGGAGGCAGCAGUAGGGAAUCUUCCGCAAUGGGCGAAAGCCUGACGGAGCAACGCCGCGUGAGUGAUGAAGGUCUUCGGAUCGUAAAACUCUGUUAUUAGGGAAGAACAUAUGUGUAAGUAACUGUGCACAUCUUGACGGUACCUAAUCAGAAAGCCACGGCUAACUACGUG
rnacentral:rRNA from 1 species